rnacentral:rRNA from 1 species
GGAGGUUACUGCUAUCGAGGUUCGACUAAGCCAUGCGAGUCGAAUGUAGCAAUACAUGGCGUACUGCUCAGUAACACGUGGACAACCUACCCUCCGGACGGGUAUAAACCCGGGAAACUGGGUAUAAUCCCCGAUAGAUCUCGGUCGCUGGAAUGCCCCGAGAUCGAAAGCUCCGGCGCCAGAGGAUGGGUCUGCGGCCUAUCAGGUAGUAGUGGGUGUAGCGUACCUACUAGCCUACGACGGGUACGGGUUGUGAGAGCAAGAGCCCGGAGAUGGAUUCUGAGACACGAAUCCAGGCCCUACGGGGUGCAGCAGGCGCGAAAACUUUACAAUGCCGGCAACGGCGAUAAGGGGACCUCGAGUGCCAGGUUACAAAUCUGGCUGUCGUGAUGCCUAAAAAGCAUUGCAUAGCAAGGGCCGGGCAAGACCGGUGCCAGCCGCCGCGGUAACACCGGCGGCUCAAGUGGUAACCGUUAUUAUUGGGUCUAAAGGGUCUGUAGCCGGCCGGAUAAGUCUCUUGAGAAAUCCAGCAGCUCAACUGUUGGGCUUUCAGGAGAUACUGUUCGGCUCGAGGCCGGGAGAGGCGAGAGGUACUUCAGGGGUAGGGGUGAAAUCUUGUAAUCCUUGAAGGACCACCAGUGGCGAAGGCGUCUCACCAGAACGGACCUGACGGCAAGGGACGAAAGCUAGGGGCACGAACCGGAUUAGAUACCCGGGUAGUCCUAGCCGUAAACGAUACUCGCUAGGUGUCGGCCACGGUGCGACCGUUGUCGGUGCCGUAGGGAAGCCGUGAAGCGAGCCACCUGGGAAGUACGGCCGCAAGGCUGAAAUUUAAAGGAAUUGGCGGGGGAGCACCACAACGGGUGGAGCGUAAA